rnacentral:lncRNA from 1 species
CAGAAGAGCAUUUUCUUUGUCUCUCUCUCUUUUUUUUUUUUUUUUUUUCUGAAGAGGGAAAACUAUUCUCUCCUGAAUUAAUUCUUCAAAUUUGGCCUCAAGUUAGUAUUAAUUUCUCUAAGUGUUAUUCCUCUGGAAGCCUUUGUGUGCUUGAUAAACCCACCCUCCCUGAGCCAACAUCUGCUCUGUGGUCUGCCAGUAUGUCAGUCCCUCGUUGUGUCAGGGCACAGAACAGGAGGUCUUUGGACUGUGUGGGCCCUGUCACCAAGCACUCACGUGUCAUGGAACUUCUUAAGUUCCUGCGUCUUCUGGUUAAUCAGAAAUGGCUUUACCAUUUCUCUUUUUUAUAAUCUCGGUGGUGUUUUGGCAAAAAGAAGGAUAUUCCUUUCAUUUACUCACACCUCUGCAUCACAUUCCCUGCUUUGUAACUCUUUGAAAACUGUUUGUUUUACUCCAGGAUUUAAUAUCAGGUGCAUCUGUCUUUUUCUGUAAAGCUUCAGGUAGAUGUUGACCAACUGAAUGCUGGAAGCAGACUGCUUUCACUUCUUGAGGAAGAAGCACGGAGUGAAUCUGAAGGCUUCUGUUGCAAUGCAGUUUGUGUGUCCCUGAGCUGGCACAGCUAGAGCAGCCGAUGAAGCCCUACCUUGUUACCUCCAUACUCAGAAGUGUGCUAAGGAAUAUUUCUGGACUUUUUGGAAAUUGUGGGCCAUUUGAGGCAAAGGCAUUGUACUGUUGCAUGUUCAGGUUCCCAGCAAAGCAAGCAGAGAUUAAAGACUUCCAAAGCAGUUUUGGAAAAUAUAGAAGCAAAGAGCAAAAUAUGUUGACCAAAGUCAAUAUAUGCUUCUAGGUUAAUGGAACAGCCUGUGGUAGCUGUUGGGAGUGCACCUAGGUUGGCACGCAGCCUCCAGCAGAGGAGCCCAUUUGGUGUGGAAUCCUAUGCUCACCAACAACUAACUCAAGGCUGGCUCUGGUAAGAUGUGCUGUAAAAAUGCUCCCCUCUGAAGAGAACACCCUUGUUAUUUUAUUAAACUAGAUCAGAACACGUGACUGACUGAAGAGUGGCAGGGUCCAAGUAGUGUGCAAGGAGCACUGUUGUGAAUGGGAAUAAAAAAUGGCAGAUCUCCA